rnacentral:rRNA from 1 species
AUUGAACGCUGGCGGCAGGCCUAACACAUGCAAGUCGAGCGGAGCGGCGGACGGGUGCGUAAUGCCUAGGAAUCUGCCUGGUAGCGGGGGAUAACGUCCGGAAACGGGAGCUAAUACCGCAUACUUUCAGAUGAGCCUAGGUCGGAUUAGCUAGUUGGUGGGGUAAAGGCAUACCAAGGGGACGAUCCGUAACUGGUCUGAGAGGAUGUUCAGUCAACAUGGCACGGAGACACGGUCCAGACUCCUCAGGGAGGCCACAGUGGGGGAUAUUUGACAAUGGGCGGAAGCCUGAAGCAGCCAUGCCGCGUGUGUGAAGAAGGUCUUCGGGUUGUAAAGCACGUUCAGGUGGGAGGCGUUACCAGCAGAAUAAGCACCCGCUAACUUCGGGGCAGCAGCCGCGGUAAUAC